GCAAAACAACAAAUUAAAGCCAGAGCCUUAUAUGGAAUAGCACAAGCACACAUAGAAUUGCUUAACAUGUAUAGAAAGAACAAUUUCAAUGCCCAUCACAAGGACACACACAAGGAAUUCACUUUCAAACACCCUUACUCUACUCAAGGGACUGGAAAACCAUACACAAGUGGCAAACGUUUAGCAAUCUGAAGUCGGUAAAACCAGAAAUCGGUAAUGCUAACAAUUCCAGACAUAUAAUUGUCUAUCCAGAACGUGGGAUUUAUUUCAAAAAUAGCAUCUUGUUCCAACCAACUUUUCUUUUUUAAAGCCGAACUCUGCAGCGAAAAGCAUUAAAAAAAAAAAAAAAAAAAAGUAAAACCAAAUGUAAG
rnacentral:misc_RNA from 1 species